rnacentral:rRNA from 1 species
GAUGAACGCUGGCGGCAUGCCUAACACAUGCAAGUCGAACGAGAAGCUUCGAGGAGACGAUUUAUCUGAUCCUCGAAGUGGAAAGUGGCGGACGGGUGAGUAACGCGUGAGUAACCUACCUCAUACAGAGGGAUAGCCCCGGGAAACUGGGUGUAAUACCUCAUAAGACUACGCUACCGCAUGGUAAAGUAGUAAAACUCCGGU